UACGUAGGCAGCGAGCGUUGUUCGGAGUUACUGGGCGUAAAGAGUGCGUAGGCGGUGCCCUAAGUCUGGUGUGAAAUCUCCCGGCUCAACCGGGAGGGUGCGCCGGAAACUGGGGUGCUCGAGUGUGGGAGAGGCAGGCGGAAUUCCCGGUGUAGCGGUGAAAUGCGUAGAGAUCGGGAGGAACACCAGAGGCGAAGGCGGCCACCUGGACAAGCACUGACACUCAACUGCGAAAGCGUGGGGAGCAAACAGG
rnacentral:rRNA from 1 species